rnacentral:rRNA from 1 species
GAGAGGUGCUUGCACCUCUUGAGAGCGGCGGACGGGUGAGUAAUGCCUAGGAAUCUGCCUGGUAGUGGGGGAUAACGCUCGGAAACGGACGCUAAUACCGCAUACGUCCUACGGGAGAAAGCAGGGGACCUUCGGGCCUUGCGCUAUCAGAUGAGCCUAGGUCGGAUUAGCUAGUUGGUGAGGUAAUGGCUCACCAAGGCGACGAUCCGUAACUGGUCUGAGAGGAUGAUCAGUCACACUGGAACUGAGACACGGUCCAGACUCCUACGGGAGGCAGCAGUGGGGAAUAUUGGACAAUGGGCGAAAGCCUGAUCCAGCCAUGCCGCGUGUGUGAAGAAGGUCUUCGGAUUGUAAAGCACUUUAAGUUGGGAGGAAGGGCCAUUACCUAAUACGUGAUGGUUUUGACGUUACCGACAGAAUAAGCACCGGCUAACUCUGUGCCAGCAGCCGCGGUAAUACAGAGGGUGCAAGCGUUAAUCGGAAUUACUGGG